UGUCUAACAAUGAAAGUGGAGUAUCUGCAUGUAAGUGGAGCUCUUGGACUCUCACUAAGGAGUCCAACUGACCAGUCAUUUAAUUUCCACCUCUCAUUAGACUUCUAUUCUUAGAUCUGUGGGGGUCCGUCCCUGUAAAAGUUCAGGGGGCUUGAGGAGGACCAGACGGGGCUACCAUCUCAGCCUGGCCCAGUUCUUCCAGAGGCAGGGCAGGGAGCUCUGUAGCUGGCCUCAGAUCCUGGAGGAGCUCCCCUGGCACCUGGAGCAGAGUGAGGCCUGGAGGGAGCUACACACCUUCUUCAUAGAUCCACAGUAAGAGCAUGGAUAUACACUUCACACAUAAGGACACUAGGGGCACACAGUUACUGUUGGGUAAAAUAGUUUAGCCGCAGAUGAACUGUCAUCAUAUAUUUAACCUAACACUUAAACUGGGUGAGCCUUUAUAUCGGUUUACAGAUUCGCAUGUUUAACCAUCAUUUGUUUACAUAACGGUAUCCACUUACUAUCUGACCCGAGAACUGUAGAGCACCUGUUUAUAACUUGGAGACAGUCUCCUCAGCUGAGAAUGGAUGUUGUCCGGUACUGGACUCUCCUGAUCCUCAGAGGUUAUGACCCCUACACCUCGUACCAGAGCCUGCUGGGUAAGGGAAUCCACCCUCGUUCUCUUGUCCAAUCAGGGCGAUGAGCAUUCCCUCCUGCUACAUAUACAGGUAAAUGCAUCAUGGUUACACAUCUCAACACGCAUUCAGCGUUGAAUGUCACAAAACUGUAGAGAUAGCAUCAUUAAAUAAUGUAGCUAUUAUCUCCAUUCAAACCAGAGCAGAGAGAGGUACACAGCAACAGGGCCUUCAUGACUGAGGCCCAAAGUGACGGCAACGGUUAUUAUUCUUCACUGAUAACAAAUUGACUAUUGACGAUGUCUUUAGUGAUCUGUUACCAGUCAUCAUCAGUGAUCCUAUGUGACCAGUGAUUAUGACUGUUUUUGGUUUUUGUUCCCCACCUGUAGAAGAUGGUUGUCAGUAGGAUCCAGGUGUGAAAGGGAGAGUGGAGGUGUUGGUCUCUGAGUUGUUGCUCUGUCUGAACAGGAAGGGAGGAAGCAGAGCAGAUCCCACUGCAGGCUGAGAACAACCUCACACAGGCUGGUGAGCAGGACAGAAACAGGGAGAGUGUGAUGUUACUGCUGACAGCGCGGCAGACUUUGGCUGAGCUCUAUGGAGACGGACCAGCACAGAGAGGCAGAGACGUACUGUAGAUCAGCUCUGGAGACCGCCCAGACUCACACCGCUACCUGCCUUGAGAGACAUGAGAGAAUCACUGUUGGAAAGGGUCAGUUGCUUUGUGUACUCUGCCAGCUUGCUGUUUGUAGACGUCCGAACCAUCGAGGCCUCUCAGAUACUCAAUGGCAUCAUCAAUAUGGGACACCACAAACUCCACCUGUGUACUGACACCACUGUAUCACUGCUCUGUGGGAUACACAGACUCAGCCUGCAAGACCCACAUGGUGCUGAGAAGCACCUCCAGGUUGCCUUGGAAGACCAGGAGGCGCUGGUAUGGUAGAGAGCACCCUCUAGUGGUGGAGGAGUGCCUGGCAGACAUCUUGGCCCGACACCUGCGCUGACACAGCAGGUGUGGUGAAGAUGUGACGUGUUGAGGCAGAGGCUAGCAGUGGAGCUGUAUCGACACACGGUGCACGUCAAAGACCAGAACAUGAAGCUUUGUCCCCCCGCAUCGCCAUGUCUUCAGGCGAAGGGAUGCAGCCUCGCACGCACCUUGGUCAAACUUGGCAGGCAGAUAUGUCAUGGCUCCGGUAAUACAGAGAGUAGAGAGGCUGUUGAACUGCUGCAGAGAGCUCUGGACCUGUACAUCUGCUUCCUGGGGUCUGAUCACACACUGACCAGAGACUUACAACAGGUUUUAAACACAGAAUCCAGGAGACCUCUGACCACUUGGGUCUUCAGUUCCAGAACCCUCUCCCACCUCUCCACUAGGAGACUAAGCAGUGGGACCAGACCCAACACAGCCGCACCCCUCCACUCCCACCUGGCCUGGUACCGGGGCACCACACACACCCCUCUGGACCUCUCCGGAAAGAGAUUCCUGUCAGCCCCAUCCAACAAGUUCCGCAAUACACAGCCAGAACUGAAACCAGAACUGUGGAAUACCUGAACUACAUCAACAGACAGAACCAACUGUCUUCUUCUCCCAGGCCCUGGUCUGCCUUCCAGACCACAGUGUUUGGGCCACAGAGUGACAUCAGAAACCUGAUCUCAAACCCAGUCCUUCUUCAGCACCGGGCUUUCAUUCCAUAGACAGGACCCAAGUGCUGCAUAGGGCAGGCUGGUGCCACCUACCAGGCAGGUACGUUCUGGAGGAACGGACAGUAACAGCUUUGAACAGAGAGAUUGGAUCCCCUUUGCACACACAGAGAUGCACACCGCUGGUCAGACAGACAGGCCAGGGACAGGGAGGAGAACAGAGCUGGUCAGACAGACAGGUCAGGAACAGGGAGGAGAACAGAACUGGUCAGACAGACAGGCCAGGGACAGGGAGGAGAACAGAGCUGGUCAGACAGACAGGCCAGGGACAGGGAGGAGAACAGAGCUGGUCAGACAGACAGGCCAGGGACAGGGAGGAGAACAGAGCUGGAGAGACAGACAGGCCAGGGACAGGGAGGAGAACAGAGCUGGAGAGACAGACAGGCCAGGGACAUGGAGGAGAACAGAGCUGGAGAGACAGACAGGUCAGGGACAGGGAGGAGAACAGAGCUGGAGAGACAGACAGGUCAGGGACAGGGAGGAGAACAGAGCUGGAGAGACAGACAGGUCAGGGACAGGGAGGAGAACAGAGCUGGAGAGACAGUGUCUUAUUCUGCCAGGAGGCACUAGAGAGAAGAGAAAGAUCUAGAGAAGACUGCUCUCAUGGUGACCACUGAACUAUUUGAGUGUUUAUUCUUUUACCACUUUUGAUACCAAUCAGCUGUUUUUAUUUUUUCCAUAUAAUUUCAAAUAGAAUUGUUGCAUGUUUACAUGGAGUGAAAUGGCCCCUAUUUUGUACAGAAACUAAAUGAUUUGACUUCAUGUUGUCAAAUGAAUCGACCCUUUUUAGUUUUCUGUAGGGUUGCAUCUAAAUAUUGUUUUAAUGUUUUGUAAGAUGGUUAAGCUCCUCAUCCUGGUGUGCAACAACAUUGACCUUUUAUCUCAGAAGGCAAUACUUAUAGUAUUUCUAGUCAAGUGAGUGAUGUAAUCAACCAUUGUAAGCACUAGUAAACGAUGUGACCGAAAGCAUGAAUUGAGCAACAUGCUACAGAUGCUGUGAAGUAGGACUAAGCCAGUUUGGACCUUACCAUGUAAUGUAGAGUUUGGGUCAUACGUUCAAAGGUCUGUAUGUUUGUAUAUAUAUAUAUAUAUGUGUGUGUGUGUGUCUAUGUUUGUGUAGAAUUGAGUGUGUGUGUGUGUCACAGGAGGUUGGUGUCACCUUAAUUGGUGGAGGACGGGAUCGUGGUGGUGGCUGAAGCGGAAUUAGUGGAAUGGUAUCAAAUACAUCAAUACGGCCGGAAUGGUUCAUGCUGCGGGCGGGCAGUGGGUGGUCAGACGACUUCAGGAUGAAAAUGUUGUUUUAGUCCAGCCAGCAGAGGCUCAUGUUACACAGCCGGCUUGCGCACCUGCUUCUAACAGUGGUGGCAAAAACAAUGAUCCGAUGUGAUUGUGUUUGUGGCCAUUUAUGUGAUGAAUGAUAACAUGAUCAAAUCCUAUAGGAGUCCAAUAAGACUGGUUCCAAAAUCGGAUAGGAUUUGUAUAUUAGUAUCUUGUAUUGGAAUCCUAUAGGAUAGAAUGGUAAAGAGUCCAAUAGGACUGGUUCCAAAAUCGGAUAGGAUUUGUAUAUUAGUAUCUUGUAUUGGAAUCCUAUAGGAUAGAAUGGUAAAGAGUCCAAUAGGACUGGUACCAAAAUCGGAUAGGAUUUGUAUAUUAGUAUCUUGUAUUGGAAUCCUAUAGGAUAGAAUGGUAAAGAGUCCAAUAGGACUGGUACCAAAAUCGGAUAGGAUUGUUCUGUUGGUUUGUUGUAGAUUAAAUCCUAUAGGAUAUAAUCCCAUAGGAGUCCAAUAGGACUAGUUCCAAAAUCUGAGAGGAUUUUUCUGUUGGUCAUACUGCAAAUGAACUUGCAACCUUGAAUCCCUCCCAUGUUGUGGUGGUGUGUUGAAUAGGUUGAGAGGUGUGAGUACGUAAAUUUAUGGAGAUUGCGCUCCGGUUAAAGGCUUUCCUACACUGUACGUCAGAUUGUCUAUUACGAUUAUUACAUGUCACACUGUGUGAUGUUACCAAAUUAAAAUCAUAAUAUCAACUUGGCCAGAUUGUACGAUUUGCUUCAGUUCUGUCGAGAAAGUCUGCGAUGGCUAAAAUUGCAGAAAGGCUAUGACAAUGUUCUGCCAGUAUGAGUGUUUGGCUGAAAAUCUCCCUCCUGACAGAAUUCUCCUCCACGCACGUACUCAAUUCUUCAUUGCUGAGACUUCCUUGCUAGUUGAGAUUUCACUAGUAAUGUCUGCAGUUUUCGGGUUUGGCUAUUUGUUUCAAGUGUAUUAAUCUAAAAAUAAAUCUCUUUGCCAAAA
ensembl:lncRNA